rnacentral:rRNA from 1 species
GGCAGCCUACACAUGCAGUCGAGCGGUAGCACAGAGAGCUUGCUCUCGGGUGACGAGCGGCGGACGGGUGAGUAAUGUCUGGGAAACUGCCUGAUGGAGGGGGAUAACUACUGGAAACGGUAGCUAAUACCGCAUAAUGUCGCAAGACCAAAGUGGGGGACCUUCGGGCCUCAUGCCAUCAGAUGUGCCCAGAUGGGAUUAGCUAGUAGGUGGGGUAACGGCUCACCUAGGCGACGAUCCCUAGCUGGUCUGAGAGGAUGACCAGCCACACUGGAACUGAGACACGGUCCAGACUCCUACGGGAGGCAGCAGUGGGGAAUAUUGCACAAUGGGCGCAAGCCUGAUGCAGCCAUGCCGCGUGUGUGAAGAAGGCCUUCGGGUUGUAAAGCACUUUCAGCGGGGAGGAAGGCGGUGAGGUUAAUAACCUUGUCGAUUGACGUUACCCGCAGAAGAAGCACCGGCUAACUCCGUGCCAGCAGCCGCGGUAAUACGGAGGGUGCAAGCGUUAAUCGGAAUUACUGGGCGUAAAGCGCACGCAGGCGGUCUGUCAAGUCGGAUGUGAAAUCCCCGGGCUCAACCUGGGAACUGCAUUCGAAACUGGCAGGCUAGAGUCUUGUAGAGGGGGGUAGAAUUCCAGGUGUAGCGGUGAAAUGCGUAGAGAUCUGGAGGAAUACCGGUGGCGAAGGCGGCCCCCUGGACAAAGACUGACGCUCAGGUGCGAAAGCGUGGGGAGCAAACAGGAUUAGAUACCCUGGUAGUCCACGCCGUAAACGAUGUCGAUUUGGAGGUUGUGCCCUUGAGGCGUGGCUUCCGGAGCUAACGCGUUAAAUCGACCGCCUGGGGAGUACGGCCGCAAGGUUAAAACUCAAAUGAAUUGACGGGGGCCCGCACAAGCGGUGGAGCAUGUGGUUUAAUUCGAUGCAACGCGAAGAACCUUACCUGGUCUUGACAUCCACAGAACUUUCCAGAGAUGGAUUGGUGCCUUCGGGAACUGUGAGACAGGUGCUGCAUGGCUGUCGUCAGCUCGUGUUGUGAAAUGUUGGGUUAAGUCCCGCAACGAGCGCAACCCUUAUCCUUUGUUGCCAGCGGUCCGGCCGGGAACUCAAAGGAGACUGCCAGUGAUAAACUGGAGGAAGGUGGGGAUGACGUCAAGUCAUCAUGGCCCUUACGACCAGGGCUACACACGUGCUACAAUGGCAUAUACAAAGAGAAGCGACCUCGCGAGAGCAAGCGGACCUCAUAAAGUAUGUCGUAGUCCGGAUUGGAGUCUGCAACUCGACUCCAUGAAGUCGGAAUCGCUAGUAAUCGUAGAUCAGAAUGCUACGGUGAAUACGUUCCCGGGCCUUGUACACACCGCCCGUCACACCAUGGGAGUGGGUUGCAAAAGAAGUAGGUAGCUUAACCUUCGGGAGGGCGCUUACCAC